rnacentral:rRNA from 1 species
AACGUAGGAGACGAACGUUAUCCGGAGUUACUGGGCGUAAAGGGCUCGUAGGCGGUUUGUCGCGUCGGGAGUGAAAACACUGGGCUUAACUCAGUGCUGGCUUUCGAUACGGGCAGACUAGAGGUAUGCAGGGGAGAACGGAAUUCCUGGUGUAGCGGUGAAAUGCGCAGAUAUCAGGAGGAACACCGGUGGCGAAGGCGGUUCUCUGGGCAUUACCUGACGCUGAGGAGCGAAAGUGUGGGGAGCGAACAGG